rnacentral:rRNA from 1 species
AUUGAACGCUGGCGGUAUGCCUUACACAUGCAAGUCGAACGGUAACAGAUUAAGCUGUCGCGUGGAGAACGGGUGAGUAAUGUAUCGGUACGUGCCACGUCGGGGGGGAUAAUUGCUCGAAAGAGAAGGUAAUAACGCAUACGACCAGAGCGCAAACGCGCGAGAUCGCAAAGCCUCGCACCUUUGGAGCUGGCGAUAUCAGAUUAGGUAGUUGGCGAGGUAAAGGCUCACCAAGCAGACGAUCUGUAGCUGGACUGAGAGGACGACCAGUCACACUGGGACUGAGACACGGCCCAGACUCCUACGGGAGGCAGCAGUGGGGAAUUUUGGACAAUGGGCGCAAGCCUGAUCCAGCCAUGCCGCGUGCGUGAAGAAGGCCUUCGGGUUGUAAACCGCUUUUGUCAGGAAAGAAAAGGUGCUGGCUAAUACCUGGGUGUCAUGACGGUACCUGAAGAAUAAGCACCGGCUAACUACGUG